GUGCCCACUUUGGCAGCACAUAUAUUAAAAUUGGAACGAUACAGAGAAGAUUAAUUAGUAUGGCCCCUGAACAAGGAUGAAAUGCAAACUCAUAAAGCAUUCCAUAUUUUU